GAUGAACGCUAGCGGCAGGCCUAAUACAUGCAAGUCGAACGGGUGGUCGCAAGACCACUAGUGGCGCACGGGUGCGUAACGCGUAACCAACCUGCCCCGAUCUGGGGGAUAGCCCGCCGAAAGGCGGAUUAAUACCGCAUAUACCCGCAGCCUGGCAUCAGGCAACGGGGAAAGAUUUAUUGGAUCGGGAUGGGGUUGCGUGACAUUAGCUAGUUGGCGGGGUAAGGGCCCACCAAGGCGACGAUGUCUAGGGGACCUGAGAGGGUGAUCCCCCACACUGGCACUGGGAUACGGGCCAGACUCCUGCGGGAGGCAGCAGUAGGGAAUAUUGGGCAAUGGGCGAGAGCCUGACCCAGCCAUGCCGCGUGACGGAUGAAGGCCUUCUGGGUUGUAAACGGCUUUUCUCAGGGAAGAAAAAGACAUUGCGAGGUACACUGACGGUACCUGAGGAAUAAGCACCGGCGAACUCCGU
rnacentral:rRNA from 1 species